rnacentral:rRNA from 1 species
UACAUGGGGUGCAAACGUUGCUCGGAAUCAUUGGGCGUAAAGCGCGCGUAGGCGGUUACUUAAGUCGAAUGUGAAAGCCCUCGGCUUAACCGAGGAAGUGCAUCCGAAACUGAGUAGCUAGAGUACGAAAGAGGGUCGCGGAAUUCCCGGUGUAGAGGUGAAAUUCGUAGAUAUCGGGAGGAACACCAGUGGCGAAGGCGGCGACCUGGGCCAAUACUGACGCUGAGGUGCGAAAGCGUGGGGAGCAAACAGG